rnacentral:rRNA from 1 species
AGAGUUUGAUCCUGGCUCAGGACGAACGCUGGCGGCGCGCCUAACACAUGCAAGUCGAACGAGAGAGAAGGAGCUUGCUUCUUUGAUCGAGUGGCGAACGGGUGAGUAACGCGUGAGGAACCUGCCUCAAAGAGGGGGACAACAGUUGGAAACGACUGCUAAUACCGCAUAAGCCCACGGCUCGGCAUCGAGCAGAGGGAAAAGGAGCAAUCCGCUUUGAGAUGGCCUCGCGUCCGAUUAGCUAGUUGGUGAGGUAACGGCCCACCAAGGCGACGAUCGGUAGCCGGACUGAGAGGUUGAACGGCCACAUUGGGACUGAGACACGGCCCAGACUCCUACGGGAGGCAGCAGUGGGGAAUAUUGCACAAUGGGGGAAACCCUGAUGCAGCGACGCCGCGUGGAGGAAGAAGGUCUUCGGAUUGUAAACUCCUGUUGUUGAGGAAGAUAAUGACGGUACUCAACAAGGAAGUGACGGCUAACUACGUGCCAGCAGCCGCGGUAAAACGUAGGUCACAAGCGUUGUCCGGAAUUACUGGGUGUAAAGGGAGCGCAGGCGGGAGAACAAGUUGGAAGUGAAAUCCAUGGGCUCAACCCAUGAACUGCUUUCAAAACUGUUUUUCUUGAGUAGUGCAGAGGUAGGCGGAAUUCCCGGUGUAGCGGUGGAAUGCGUAGAUAUCGGGAGGAACACCAGUGGCGAAGGCGGCCUACUGGGCACCAACUGACGCUGAGGCUCGAAAGUGUGGGUAGCAAACAGGAUUAGAUACCCUGGUAGUCCACACCGUAAACGAUGAUUACUAGGUGUUGGAGGAUUGACCCCUUCAGUGCCGCAGUUAACACAAUAAGUAAUCCACCUGGGGAGUACGACCGCAAGGUUGAAACUCAAAGGAAUUGACGGGGGCCCGCACAAGCAGUGGAGUAUGUGGUUUAAUUCGACGCAACGCGAAGAACCUUACCAAGUCUUGACAUCCUGCGACGCACAUAGAAAUAUGUGUUUCCUUCGGGACGCAGAGACAGGUGGUGCAUGGUUGUCGUCAGCUCGUGUCGUGAGAUGUUGGGUUAAGUCCCGCAACGAGCGCAACCCUU